CCACAGAAACCAGUCUGAUAACUGGUGGAAGGAAAGAAAAAAAACACAGAAACCAGUCUGAUAACUGGUGGAAGGAAAGAAAAAAACCACAGAAACCAGUCUGAUAACUGGUGGAAGGAAAGAAAAAAAACACAGAAACCAGUCUGAUAACUGGUGGAAGGAAAGAAAAAAAAACACAGAAACCAGUCUGAUAACUGGUGGAAGGAAAGAAAAAAACCACAGAAACCAGUCUGAUAACUGGUGGAAGGAAAGUAAUAAAAACCACAGAAACCAGUCUGAUAACUGGUGGAAGGAAAGUAAUAAAAACCACAGAAACCAGUCUGAUAACUGGUGGAAGGAAAGAAAAAAAACACAGAAACCAGUCUGAUAACUGGUGGAAGGAAAGAAAAAAAAAACACAGAAACCAGUCUGAUAACUGGUGGAAGGAAAGAAAAAAAAAAUACAGAAACCAGUCUGAUAACUGGUGGAAGGAAAGUAAUAAAAACCACAGAAACCAGUCUGAUAACUGGUGGAAGGAAAGAAAAAAACCACAGAAACCAGUCUGAUAACUGGUGGAAGGAAAGAAAAAAAAACACAGAAACCAGUCUGAUAACUGGUGGAAGGAAAGAAAAAAAACACAGAAACCAGUCUGAUAACUGGUGGAAGGAAAGAAAAAAAAACACAGAAACCAGUCUGAUAACUGGUGGAAGGAAAGAAAAAAAAACACAGAAACCAGUCUGAUAACUGGUGGAAGGAAAGAAAUAAAAAAUACAGAAACCAGUCUGAUAACUGGUGGAAGGAAAGAAAAAAAACACAGAAACCAGUCUGAUAACUGGUGGAAGGAAAGAAAAAAAACACAGAAACCAGUCUGAUAACUGGUGGAAGGAAAGAAAAAAAAUACAGAAACCAGUCUGAUAACUGGUGGAAGGAAAGAAAAAAACCACAGAAACCAGUCUGAUAACUGGUGGAAGGAAAGAAAUAAAAAAUACAGAAACCAGUCUGAUAACUGGUGGAAGGAAAUAAAA